UAAGGGCAUUUGGUGGAUGCCUUGGCAUGCACAGGCGAUGAAGGACGUGAUACGCUGCGAAAAGCCGUGGGGAGCUGCGAAUGAGCUUUGAUCCAUGGAUCUCCGAAUGGGGCAACCCACCUUAAAUGCUUGGAAAAUCAUUCUGGUUGUCUGGCCUUUGGCCCGGCAACCCGAGUGGUUUCCAAGCAUUGUGAUAAGGUAUCUACACCUGAAUACAUAGGGUGUAAGAAGCGAACGCAGGGAACUGAAACAUCUAAGUACCUGCAGGAAAGGACAUCAACCGAGACUCCGCAAGUAGUGGCGAGCGAACGC
rnacentral:rRNA from 1 species